AUGGUGGUGCCGAGGGAUGCGACGGGGUCGUUCGACUACAUGCAGGUGGUACGAGAGGGGCAGUCGGUUGUCAUCGAGGAGGGCGAGGAGGAGCAGGUGGAAUCGCCUCACGCCAAACACGCGCUCCCGGGAAAGGAAAAGGAGAAACUACGACAAGUCAAGGUGAGACCCAGGCCUGAAAAGGGGAAAUCACCCUGGAGUUGGCUCAAGAACAAGAUUUUUUGUAGAGAAGGAAGGCAAAUAUGUUCGGAACAUGUCCAGCACCAGACACAACCCAUCUCUGAAGUAAGGAAUCGUUAUAUGGUUUCUUCUAAUGGGAUGAACAGUCUUGAUGGCUAUUCAGAAUUUAGACCGGUGAUUGGAGAUGGGGAGUGUUUCUACAGGAGCUUCAUAUUUUCCUACCUAGAGCAAGUUAUUGAUAGGCCGGACACAGAUGAGGAACGCCGUCUCCUUGAUGUUGUUGAAACAGCGUCUGCACGACAUGCAGAUCUUCGAUGGAACUCUAAGUUUCCCAGGACCAGCAGAGAGAUGCAUAAUUGCUUAACAGUAGUGGCAUGCCGUCACAGUUUUAGACAAUGUUGGCACAAACUCAAAUUUGAAGCUUAUUGUGAAGUUAACAACCUGAUUGUAACAACGACCUUAAGAGAAAUUUACUUGCAAAGGAAGAACCGCAAUAUAAUGGGGAAAUAA
rnacentral:rRNA from 1 species